rnacentral:rRNA from 1 species
CGGCGCACGGGUGAGUAACACGUAUCCAACCUGCCGUCUACUCUUGGACAGCCUUCUGAAAAGAAGAUUAAUACAAGAUGGCAUCAUGAGUCCGCAUGUUCACAUGAUUAAAGGUAUUCCGGUAGACGAUGGGGAUGCGUUCCAUUAGAUAGUAGGCGGGGUAACGGCCCACCUAGUCUUCGAUGGAUAGGGGUUCUGAGAGGAAGGUCCCCCACAUUGGAACUGAGACACGGUCCAAACUCCUACGGGAGGCAGCAUG